rnacentral:rRNA from 1 species
GACGAACGCUGNNGGCGUGCCUAAUACAUGCAAGUAGAACGCACAGUUUAUACCGUAGCUUGCUACNNCAUAGACUGUGAGUUGCGAACGGGUGAGUAACGCGUAGGUAACCUGCCUGGUAGCGGGGGAUAACUANUGGAANCGAUAGCUAAUACCGCAUAAUAUUGAUUAUUGCAUGAUAAUUGAUUGAAAGAUGCUAUUGCAUCACUACCAGAUGGACCUGCGUUGUAUUAGCUAGUAGGUGAGGUAACGGCUCACCUAGGCGACGAUACAUAGCCGACCUGAGAGGGUGAUCGGCCACACUGGGACUGAGACACGGCCCAGACUCCUACGGGAGGCAGCAGUAGGGAAUCUUCGGCAAUGGACGAAAGUCUGACCGAGCAACGCCGCGUGAGUGAAGAAGGUUUUCGGAUCGUAAAGCUCUGUUGUAAGAGAAGAACGGGUGUGAGAGUGGAAAGUUCACACUGUGACGGUAUCUUACCAGAAAGGGACGGCUAACUACGUGCCAGCAGCCGCGGUAAUACGUAGGUCCCGAGCGUUGUCCGGAUUUAUUGGGCGUAAAGCGAGCGCAGGCGGUUAGAUAAGUCUGAAGUUAAAGGCUGUGGCUUAACCAUAGUACGCUUUGGAAACUGUUUAACUUGAGUGCAGAAGGGGAGAGUGGAAUUCCAUGUGUAGCGGUGAAAUGCGUAGAUAUAUGGAGGAACACCGGUGGCGAAAGCGGCUCUCUGGUCUGUAACUGACGCUGAGGCUCGAAAGCGUGGGGAGCGAACAGG